GAUGAACGCUGGCGGCGCGCCUAACACAUGCAAGUCGAACGAUUAAAGCACCUUCGGGUGUGUAUAAAGUGGCGAACGGCUGAGUAACACGUGGGCAACCUGCCCCUUUCAUUGGGAUAGCCACGGGAAACCGUGGAUAAUACCGAAUACUUCGAGACUUCCGCAUGGAAGACUCGAGAAAGCUCCGGCGGAGAGGGAUGGGCCCGCGGCCUGUUAGCUUGUUGGUGGGGUAACGGCCUACCAAGGCAAUGAUGGGUAGCUGGGUUGAGAGACCGACCAGCCAGAUUGGGACUGAGACACGGCCCAGACUCCUACGGGAGGCAGCAGUGGGGAAUCGUGCAAAAUGGGCGAAAGCCUGAUGCAGCGACGCCGCGUGAGGGAUGAAGGCCUUCGGGUUGUAAACCGCUUUCAGCAGGGACGAGGCGAAAGUGACGGUACCUGAAGAAGAAGCCACGGCUAACUAAGUG
rnacentral:rRNA from 1 species